AAAAUACUGCCAUUUUCCAAAAUACUGUUGUCGGGAGAUCUCCUAAUUCAUCUGUUAUACUAGAACUAGAAGAAACAGGAAAGACAGUUGACUAAUUCAUGUGACUAAGGAUUAAGCCACAGAUUAUUUAACCUCCAUACAAAAUUUUAAGUAAAUCCCUACUAUCUGAGUUUAUAAUUAUCUCAUAAUAACUGUAUAAAGUUUAUCACUGAUUCUCUUAUCCAUAAUAGACAUUUAACCUCAUUCAUUCCAUUCAAGGUAAAGGACAAAAAUCAAUGGCUAAAUUAUUUUAUCUUACUAUAUAACACAGUCUGCCCUCUGGUGUGUUUACUGACUGAGUAAACAAAGCACAUAGUUUGAAGUAAGACAGCCAUUUUCUGGCUAUGUGACCUUAAGUAAGUUACUUAUCUACUCUAAAGCUCAGUCUCCUCAAUUAUGAAACCUGGAUUAUCAAAUACUGUCAUUAGUAAUUAUUAAACCAUCAUUAAUAACAGCUGCUCAUAUAAGAAACAUUACUUUACAAAAUUCAUUUUAAUCUUCAGAAAUAAGAGAGCACUCUGCCCCUCUCUUUUUUGCAUAAAAAGAUUUUAACCCAUUUUAAACACAAGAACGGAGGUAACCAAUGACACGGAAUAUUCUCACCAAGUAGAGAUUAAGUCUUAUUUUAAACUGCAUGUUACAGAAAAAAAAAACACAAGUUAUUUUGUGGGUAUUUCUAGACUAUUUUGUUCUACGCUUAUUUUAACUAUUAUGUAAACUGUCUAGUUUCAAAGAAACGUUUAUAAACGUUCUACAGGAAAAACUAGAGCAUGUCUAGAUACCAUGUUAUUUGACUUUAAUAAUAUAUUCAUAUGUAUCAUCUAAAUAUAUCCAGCUAACAAGCUGAUACUUAAUGUGACUUUUUAAAUAUUUUACCUUGAAACUAGAUAGAAUCUUAAGUAUGGGGCCUUUUAGCCUGAGGAAGGAAUAUGCUUGAAAACAAAUUAAGAUUGAACACUUACUAUGUAUCAUGUAGUCUUCUAAAUAUUUGAAACAUAUUUCUUUUAAUCUUCAGAGCCCAUGGAAGUAACAGUAUAAUCCUGAUAUUACUACAGUGUACAUAGGGUAAUAUAUAACUUGGCCAAGGUCACACUGCUUAGUGAGUGGUGGGACAAAAAUCUGAAACUAGGCAAUACGGCUACAGAAUCUAAACUCUUAACUACCCACUAUUCUCAGAGAAAAGCCAAGAAGUUAUUUAAAACUGAAAACCUGUAGUUCCCACUGUAGUGUGGUGGCUUAAGGAUCCCACCCUGCCUCAGCUGUGGCUCAGAUUCAAUCCCUGGUUCAGAAACUUGUGUAUGUUGCAGGAGCAGCCAAAAAAAAAAAAAAAAAAAAAAAA
rnacentral:lncRNA from 1 species